rnacentral:lncRNA from 1 species
UCCUCACACAGUGGUGUUUAGGUUUUCACAAAAAAUAAAUCACCACAUAUAAAAAUCAGUAUAUAGAGAAGUUAAGGAGCAGAAGGACUCUUCCUUCUCUCAAUCCCAUAAUUUUUAGGUGUGUAAUAUUUAAGAAGAAGCGAGAGAAAUAAUGAGGUGGCAUGGGAUUUUAAGAGUCAUGAUAAAGAAGGACUCUUCCUUCUUACACAUUGAUUAAAUGAGGCAUCCCAAUUAAAAUGG